rnacentral:ribozyme from 1 species
AGGGGAAAGAAGCGGAAGGGGGGAGGUUUUCAACAUCACCACCGCCACUGAACAAACAUGGUGGAAAACCCCUCGCUCCCUCCCCCCCGCCUGGCUCUUCUACUU